UACGUAGGGUGCAAACGUUGCUCGGAAUCAUUGGGCGUAAAGCGCACGUAGGCGGCCUAGUAUGUCGGGUGUGAAAGCCCUCGGCUUAACCGGGGAAGUGCAUUCGAAACUGCUAGGCUUGAGUACUGAAGAGGAUCGCGGAAUUCCCGGUGUAGAGGUGAAAUUCGUAGAUAUCGGGAGAACACCAGUGGCGAAGGCGGGUCUCUGGACAGUUCCUGACGCUGAGGCACGAAGGCCAGGGGAGCA
rnacentral:rRNA from 1 species